rnacentral:rRNA from 1 species
AGUGAACGCUGGCGGUAGGCCUAACACAUGCAAGUCGAACGGCAGCACAGUAAGAGCUUGCUCUUACGGGUGGCGAGUGGCGGACGGGUGAGGAAUACAUCGGAAUCUACUUUUUCGUGGGGGAUAACGUAGGGAAGCUUACGCUAAUACCGCAUACGACCUACGGGUGAAAGCAGGGGAUCUUCGGACCUUGCGCGAUUGAAUGAGCCGAUGUCGGAUUAGCUAGUUGGCGGGGUAAAGGCCCACCAAGGCGACGAUCCGUAGCUGGUCUGAGAGGAUGAUCAGCCACACUGGAACUGAGACACGGUCCAGACUCCUACGGGAGGCAGCAGUGGGGAAUAUUGGACAAUGGGCGCAAGCCUGAUCCAGCCAUACCGCGUGGGUGAAGGAGGCCUUCGGGUUGUAAAGCCCUUUUGUUGGGAAAGAAAAGCAGCAGGUUAAUACCCCGCUGUUCUGACGGUACCCAAAGAAUAAGCACCGGCUAACUUCGUG